UUUCCGUAGGUGAACCUACGGAAGGAUCAUUGUUGAGUUUCUUUUCAAACAGAUGUGAAAUUGUACCAGUACCCAUUGAGAACUAAUCGUUUUUGCUAUCAGCACUUGCGUUGUUUAGAUGGUUUCCUUUUGCUGCCUUCAUCUUUGCUUCAUAAGUGGAGUAGAAAUAAAAGACAGGCACUUUUUGUGCCAAGAAUAGUUAUUGUUGAGGUACAUUGCCAUCUUUUUGAUGUCUUUGUGUUACUCUACGAGCAUAUACAUCUAAGCAUAUACGUCUGAAUGACUCCUGACAAUGGAUAUCUUGGCUCUC
rnacentral:misc_RNA from 1 species